rnacentral:rRNA from 1 species
UCAGGGAGAAGUCUCUUCGGGGAUGAUUAAACCGGCGCACGGGUGAGUAACACGUGAGUGACCUGCCUUUUAGACUGGAACAACUUACCGAAAGGUGAGCUAAUGCCGGAUGAGUUAUAUAAGUGCAUGUUUAUAUAGGAAAAGUUGGGGAGACCUGACGCUGAAAGAUGGACUCGCGUCCCAUUAGCUAGUUGGUAGGGUAAUGGCCUACCAAGGCGACGAUGGGUAGCCGGCCUGAGAGGGUGGCCGGCCACACUGGGACUGAGACACGGCCCAGACUCCUACGGGAGGCAGCAGUGGGGAAUUUUGCGCAAUGCUCGUAAGAGUGACGCAGCGACGCCGCGUGAAUGACGAAGGCCUUCGGGUCGUAAAGUUCUUUCGACAGGGAAGAAAAUGCCUAUAAGUAACUGUGUAUGUAUUGACGGUACCUGUAUAAGCAGCCCCGGCUAACUCCGUGCCAGCAGCCGCGGUAAUACGGAGGGGGCGAGCGUUGUUCGGAGUGACUGGGCGUAAAGAGCACGUAGGCGGUGUUGUAAGUCAUUAGUCAAAGACUAGAGCUCAACUUUAGUAAGGCUAGUGAUACUAUAAUACUAGAGUAUCAGAGAGGAUUGCAGAAUUCCUGGUGUACCGGUGAAAUGC